rnacentral:rRNA from 1 species
UGAACGCUGGCGGCAGGCCUAACACAUGCAAGUCGAGCGGAUGACGGGAGCUUGCUCCUUGAUUCAGCGGCGGACGGGUGAGUAAUGCCUAGGAAUCUGCCUGGUAGUGGGGGACAACGUUUCGAAAGGAACGCUAAUACCGCAUACGUCCUACGGGAGAAAGCAGGGGACCUUCGGGCCUUGCGCUAUCAGAUGAGCCUAGGUCGGAUUAGCUAGUUGGUGAGGUAAUGGCUCACCAAGGCGACGAUCCGUAACUGGUCUGAGAGGAUGAUCAGUCACACUGGAACUGAGACACGGUCCAGACUCCUACGGGAGGCAGCAGUGGGGAAUAUUGGACAAUGGGCGAAAGCCUGAUCCAGCCAUGCCGCGUGUGUGAAGAAGGUCUUCGGAUUGUAAAGCACUUUAAGUUGGGAGGAAGGGCAGUAAGUUAAUACCUUGCUGUUUUGACGUUACCGACAGAAUAAGCACCGGCUAACUCUGUGCCAGCAGCCCGGGGUUA